rnacentral:rRNA from 1 species
CCCAGACUCCUACGGGAGGCAGCAGUGGGGAAUAUUGCACAAUGGGGGAAACCCUGAUGCAGCGACGCCGCGUGAGUGAAGAAGUAUUUCGGUAUGUAAAGCUCUCUCAGCAGGGAAGAAAAUGACGGUACCUGUUUAGAAAGCUCCGGCUAACUACGUGCCAGCAGCCGCGGUAAUACGUAGGGAGCAAGCGUUGUCCGGAAUUACUGGGCGUAAAGGGCGCGUAGGUGGGCGCUUAAGUCAGGUGUGAAAACUCCGGGCUCAACCUGGAGACUGCACUUGAAACUGGGUGUCUUGAGGGCAGGAGAGGAAAGUGGAAUUCCUAGUGUAGCGGUGAAAUGCGUAGAUAUUAGGAGGAACACCAGUGGCGAAGGCGGCUUACUGGACAGUAACUGACGUUGAGGCUCGAAAGCGUGGGGAGCAAACAGGAUUAGAUACCCCGGUAGG